AGGUGGUGCUGACAGAGGUGUGGAGGAGUUGGUGUACCAAGAUGACAACAACACCUGCGGAAUAUUUUGGACGGCGAUAAGACAAAUAUACGCGGGCCAAUGGUAUGACAGCUGUGAACUACGUGUGAAAUCAUCAAUUGAUUCUGCAUCGGCAAGCCCAGAAUGUAUUCAACAGUUCUUCAAUAUUUGCAGUCCCGAACGCGUCGUGGUGCAAACUGUAUGGCCACAGUUAUGUGUUUUUAUGGUUUCAAAUUCAACCAUCCUCAAGACAGCAGUUGAAAGUCAAUAUCUUAAGCCGUUUCCCAAUGUUACUCAGUAGAACGAAGGAUAUCUUACAGCACAUGCAGCUCUUCAGAAUAAAAGGUUAUGUGGGGCGAAUGUUUGUGCAGUCGGGGUUCAAAAGGGGGGCGAAGCAGCUACACAGCAGUAAUGUGGAUGAAAAGUGUGUAAUCGCUGUAUACGGAAGUGGUAGAGAAGUGCCAAUUAGGGCAUUUUAGGUGCACAAAUGUAAUAAUUCUGAUUUUUCGCGACCGCAUGAUUGCCGCUGUCCAUGCCGACUUUUUCGGUGUGCACUUUAUCACGGCCCCUUUUUGAGUCUGGAUUGAUUUGAACUAGGGUCGUUUUGCAAAGUGGUGGGCCGAGGUCCCGAAAGUAAAUGAAACUCACUCACUCUCAGAAUAAAAUUUGCAGCAGAACUCAUCUCGCGAUGACUGUCGACGGUAAUGCGAGGAUUUAUUGCGAUUCCAUCUGUGUUGCGACUAACCCUAAUUCUGAAAUCACGUUUAGUUAAAAUCUGUAGUGGACACUGACAUUUGUACUGCUUUAGUUAUAUGCUACAUACUCUGGUGUCCCCAUUGGCUAUGGCACUCGCCUGCCAACAUCACUGACCCUACCUGGGUCACUGCGUAGUCCGUGGUCUAUUGGGUAGCGCAUCGGGCUCCUGUGCUGAGGAAACAGGGUUCAAAACCAACCAUCGGAACACCUUGGGGCACUGAGUAUGUGGCAAUGUGUACGAACGUGCAGCUGUUCAACGAGCGUCUUUCACGCCGACAUGGGUCCCUGUAGAUGCGUGACUGGGUAGGUACCGUUGUUCGAAGAAUCUCUUUGAUUGACUUGGAGUACUAGGUAUGUGCCACUUCGUCUGUGCAGAUCUCCAAUGAACUACAAUGGCAAAACCGCUCCUAAUACAAUGACAAAAAAAGUUUUAUUCCGCCGGUGCUAGGGGAGCCGCCUUCCCGUCAACAUUCCGACAGUCUUGAACACUACAAGAGCAUCAGGAAAAAACGCACCAUUUUACCCCACCCUCACCCUUCACUAAACAAGGAACAAGCAGAUGUCCGUCAAAAGUUCAGACUAACACCAUCCUCACCUCACUCAUGCUCUCAAACUUCGCAUGGCGUAGCACAGCUCACUGCCUCAAGUGUCCGGAG